GGGUCAUUAACUCAGUUGGUUCAGAGUGUUACCUUGACAGGGUAGAAGUCACUGGUUCGAAUCCAGUAUGACCCACAA
rnacentral:tRNA from 13 species